ACGAGCUCCUGGUGCACAUCCACUCUCACUGAGGGGGUGGUGUAUGAGGUGGAGCUCAGUGUUUGCAUGUCUGCAUGCAAUGUAAUUGCAAACUGUCCUUGUCCCCACCGGGCCCACUGCCUGCAGCCCCAGCAGGGUGAGGUCCUGCCCGGCGCUGCUGCCUGUGCUGGCCCUGCAGCAAAAGAGCUGGAGGAAGGUGCCCGAGAGGAUGGACUCAUGGACUCCCUAAGCUCGGUGCCCGAGGUGUCUGCAUUGUGCGUGCUCUCCCAGCACGACUCAGUUGCUGCCUCUCUGAUGCUCUUCUGUCAUGUUCAGCAUCUUGUAUGA
rnacentral:lncRNA from 1 species